UGUAUGCAUGUAUGCAUGUAUGCAUGCAUACAUGCACGUAUGCAUGUAUGCAUGUAUGCAUGUAUGCAUGUAUGCAUGUAUGCAUGUAUGCACGUAUACAUGUGUGCAUGUAUGCACGUAUGCAUGUAUGCAUGCAUGCAUGCAUGCAUGCAUGUAUGUA
rnacentral:ncRNA from 1 species